AGUCACUGACAUUAGAUACCCGUGUAGUCCCAGCCGUAAACUAUGCGCGUUAGGUGUAUCGGUGACCACGAGUUACCGAGGUGCCGAAGGGAAACCGUGAAACGUGCCGCCUGGGAAGUACGGUCGCAAGGCUGAAACUUAAAGGAAUUGGCGGGGGAGCACCGCAACGGGAGGAGCGUGCGGUUUAAUUGGAUUCAACACCGUAAAACUCACCAGGGAAGACUGUUACAUGAAGGCCGAGAUGAAGACUCUGCUAGAUUUUCAG
rnacentral:rRNA from 1 species